UUGCUUCUUAGGUCAAGCACACUUCUCCAGGACGUCGCUCUGUGCACAGGCAAGCGAACAAUCACCUGGUUGAUAUUCAGAGCUCUUUUAACCCAUCAGAAGUUUCAAAGUUUCCACCAGAGCAUCAAAGGCUGAGAGAUUUCAUCUACCAACAAUGCAGGAAAUGAGGCCAGUUGAGUUCAAGGACGGUGUCUUAUGGCUUGAAG